rnacentral:misc_RNA from 1 species
CAGAGUUGAAAAACUCCCAAACCCUAUGUGAACCUACCUAUAUCGUUGCUUCGGCAGGCGGCCCCAGGGCGGGGCUGUAGCCUCUUCGGAGGUGCCUGCCGGAGGAUCAUGACUCUGUCUCUACUAUGCCUUCUGAGCACAUAUAAAAUAGUUA